GCCGGUCCUCGGUAGUGGCGCCCGGAAGGACGCGCGGCCCAUGCCGCGGUCCCGGGUGCUUCGAUCGAAGACCGGC
rfam:Streptomyces sp. MnatMP-M17 genome assembly, contig: Ga0115259_10533